AAGUCGUAACAAGGUUUCCGUAGGUGAACCUGCGGAAGGAUCAUUAACACUUUUUUCGGUGCUUUUGAAACUAGGAAAAUCUUUUCUUGGUUUCGAGCCCAAUCCAAACUUACCCAAACUUUUUUAAAGUGCUGGUGUUUUGCGAUCAAAAGCAAAACCUCUUUUUUUUCUAUUUAUCAAUUCAAAAACCCCAAAUCUUUCUUUGCGAAUGCAAUUGAACAAAUUUAAACCUUAAAAAAACUACUAAUGUAACCAAACAACUCUUAGCAACGGAUAUCUUGGCUCUC
rnacentral:misc_RNA from 1 species